rnacentral:rRNA from 1 species
CCUACGGGUGGCAGCAGUGGGGAAUAUUGCACAAUGGGGGGAACCCUGAUGCAGCGACGCCGCGUGGGGGAGGAAGUACUUCGGUAUGUAAAGCCCUAUCAGCAGGGAAGAAAAUGACGGUACCUGUCUAAGAAUCCGCGGCUAACUACGUGCCAGCAGCCGCGGCAAUACGGAGGGGGCAAGCGUCAUCCGGAUUAACUGGGGGUAAAGGGGGCGUAGACGGGGUGCCAAGUCUGAUGUGAAAGGCCGGGGCUCAACCCCGGGACUGCAUUGGAAACUGGCAUGCUGGAGUGCCGGAGGGGCAAGCGGAAUGCCUGGUGUAGCGGUGAAAUGCGUAGAUAUUGGGAAGAACACCGGUGGCGAAGGCGGCUUGCUGGACGGUAACUGACGUUGAGGCACGAAAGCGUGGGGAGCGAACAGGAUUAGAUACCCGGGUAGUC